CAAGUGGUAGGAGAGCGUUCUAUUUGCGCCGAAGGUAUACCGGUAAGGAGUGCUGGAGCGAAUAGAAGUGAGCAUGCAGGCAUGAGUAGCGAUAAUUAAUGUGAGAAUCAUUAACGCCGUAAACCCAAGGUUUCCUACGCGAUGCUCGUCAUCGUAGGGUUAGUCGGGUCCUAAGUCGAGUCCGAAAGGGGUAGACGAUGGCAAAUUGGUUAAUAUUCCAAUACCAACAUUAGUGUGCGAUGGAAGGACGCUUAGGGCUAAGGGGGCUAGCGGAUGGAAGUGCUAGUCUAAGGUCGUAGGAGGUUAUACAGGCAAAUCCGUAUAACAAUACUCCGAGAACUGAAAGGCUUUUUGAAGUCUUCGGAUGGAUAGAAGAACCCCUGAUGCCGUCGAGCCAAGAAAAGUUUCUAAGUUUAGCUAAUGUUGCCCGUACCGUAAACCGACACAGGUGGGUGGGAUGAGUAUUCUAAGGCGCGUGGAAGAACUCUCUUUAAGGAACUCUGCAAAAUAGCACCGUAUCUUCGGUAUAAGGUGUGGUUCGCUUCGUAUUAGGAUUUACUCCGAAAGCGAAGAAACUUACAACAAAGAGUCCCUCCCGACUGUUUACCAAAAACACAGCACUCUGCUAACUCGUAAGAGGAUGUAUAGGGUGUGACGCCUGCCCGGUGCUCGAAGGUUAAUUGAUGGGGUUAGCAUUAGCGAAGCUCUUGAUCGAAGCCCGAGUAAACGGCGGCCGUAACUAUAACGGUCCUAAGGUAGCGAAAUUCCUUGUCGGUUAAAUACCGACCUGCAUGAAUGGCGUAACGAGAUGGGAGCUGUCUCAAAGAGGGAUCCAGUGAAAUUGUAGUGGAGGUGAAAAUUCCUCCUACCCGCGGCAAGACGGAGAGACCCCGUGGACCUUUACUACAGCUUGACACUGCUAUUUGGAUAAGAAUGUGCAGGAUAGGUGGGAGGCUUUGAGUAUAUGACGCCAGUUGUAUAUGAGCCAUUGUUGAGAUACCACUCUUUCUUAUUUGGGUAGCUAACCAGCUUGAGUUAUCCUCAAGUGGGACAAUGUCUGGUGGGUAGUUUGACUGGGGCGGUCGCCUCCCAAAUAAUAACGGAGGCUUACAAAGGUUGGCUCAGAACGGUUGGAAAUCGUUCGUAGAGUAUAAAGGUAUAAGCCAGCUUAACUGCAAGACAUACAAGUCAAGCAGAGACGAAAGUCGGUCUUAGUGAUCCGGUGGUUCUGUGUGGAAGGGCCAUCGCUCAAAGGAUAAAAGGUACCCCGGGGAUAACAGGCUGAUCUCCCCCAAGAGCUCACAUCGACGGGGAGGUUUGGCACCUCGAUGUCGGCUCAUCGCAUCCUGGGGCUGGAGCAGGUCCCAAGGGUAUGGCUGUUCGCCAUUUAAAGCGGUACGCGAGCUGGGUUCAGAACGUCGUGAGACAGUUCGGUCCCUAUCUGCCGUGGGCGUAAGAAGAUUGAAGAGAUUUGACCCUAGUACGAGAGGACCGGGUUGAACAAACCACUGGUGUAGCUGUUGUUCUGCCAAGAGCAUCGCAGCGUAGCUAAGUUUGGAAAGGAUAAACGCUGAAAGCAUCUAAGCGUGAAGCCAACUCUAAGAUGAAUCUUCUCUAAGCUCUCUAGAAGACUACUAGUUUGAUAGGCUGGGUGUGUAAUGGAUGAAAGUCCUUUAGCUGACCAGUACUAAUAGAGCGUUUGGCUUAUCUUUAAUAAAGCAU
rnacentral:rRNA from 1 species